AAGUGUUUACAGAGAGCUCUGUGUGUGUUUUUUCUGUUCAGAUGGCAGCAUCCCCUCCAGUGCUGUAUCCAGUGCGGGCCCCUCAUCCCCGAUUACAGAGUCUUCUGGUCUGAACUUCAGCUUCAGUGAGUAGGCCGUCUGCUUGGAGAAACACAAGGACCUCUGGGAAUCGGAGGCCACGGUGUAACGACUUUACUUCCUGCGCUGUUAUUCAGCCUUCUGCUCAUAUUCACGAUGUCAGACGCGAUAUGAUCAAACAAACUGUGCACGGUGAUUCUCCUGCUGCACCCUCACUGCACCACCACUGACUGCACUAUCCUCACCACGCCUGCUCUUCACCAUAAAGAGGAAAUAAAGAAAAAUACGUGGGACUUCUCAUCGCCUCGAUCCGCCUCCUCAGAUCGCUGACACUUUCCUGAACCGUCCAUUGUGCCAACAUUCAGGCCAUUUGUGCCUUUAGUUAAAUUUGGAUCAGAGCAGUGCUUGCUGUUUGCUCUGGAGAUGUUUUUUUUUUUCCCUCACACACCAGCAGUCUGUUUUUCUCACCUGAACUGCCAACAUUUCCGGUUCAAAUGCGUCACGGCUUUGAGUCUGCGGUGGAUUUCAUCCAAAGAUGUCAGCACGCCUGCUUUCUAACCAAGGAUUAGAUUAUCAAUACUGCUCUCAUAUCUAGCUGCUAGCUCAGCUUGGCACAUAGACUGGGAAUGGGGAUACAACUAGCCUGUUUUAAAGGUGGCAGAACAGUAGUAGUCUUUUCUUUUUAUAAAUUCUAUGUUUUAUCUGUUUUCUUUUUUUUUAAAUAAUAACUAAAUGGAACAUUAAGUGUUAGUUUUUCAAGCAGUUUUACCUUAGACAAGGCCACUGUUAGCUGUUUACAUUCGUUAAAAAGGCUGAACUACCUGCUGGAUUUGAGAGUUAAUCAUGUUAUUUAAGGCUUCAGUCAUACAGACUUAGAGACCAGUUAGCAACCUGCUGAUGUCGCUAGUGAGCACUGACGUAAAACAUCCUCGUGAUUCCUUUUUAUCAGAUUUACCACAGUCACGUGUAGUUUGCAUGGUAGAUGCCAGUCUGUCUGUAAACACUCCCGUCAAUAACUCGACAAACAGGAUGGUCAAACUGAUACCAGAGGUGCAUCUACUAAAAAUGUUGGACAAGUUUGAAUCUAAGAGGUGUGAAAAUCUUGUGAUCACUCGAGUCUGGUUUGCUUCGCACUUAUCACAGUUUCACUGCUGCUUGGUGACUGUUUGUUGACAAGUGUUCAGACAACAGAUGGGAUCUGCACAGCCACCAACCAAUCGUCAACUGAAUAGUGAUACUCAUUUUUUCCCUAUUUGUCGCCGACCCGUCUCUAAGCCUGUGUGUGACUGAAGUCUACCUUGUUGCAAGAAAAGAAGGAAGGGUAAUUUAACCAAAAAUGUCAAAAUGUUUCUAUAUCUGUUUCACACAUCAAACGUCUGGAUUAUAAAAUCAGUUCUCCCUGCAGACUGAAAACCAUCAUGAAAAGCUUAUAACACUGUAACCAAAGCAACCACAGCCCAAAUACUCUCUAAUCUAACAUACAAAGCAUCUGCAGAGAUGACACUUUGCAUUAUGCCUGAUAAAUUAUUCCUCACAUGAUUUUUGUUUUAAUUCAUGCAAUUUAAAAAAAAAGUGUAGUAUACUCUUAGUAGUAUAAGAGUAGUAUAUUUUAUAAUUUUUCACUCAUGCCAGCCUGAUCAAGCUGUUUAGCUCUGUGUUCGUCAGCUGUUAAGUAGAAACAAAGAUGCAUCUGUAAAUGUGCCUUCAGAUAAUAAUGUGACAUUAAAUCCAAAUGUUAGGAAUCUGCUGUAUACUUUUACUGAGAUGUUUUAGAGUUACAGGGAUAAGCCACUUGAUUAAGGUAGUAGUAUAGUUGUGUCUGCAGUCUGUCACACCAUAUACUGAGAUGUGUUUUUAAUGUCAAAUGACUGUUUCUCAUCUCGUUAAUCAUGCUCAGGUAAAGCAGUAUAAUCCAAAGGUUGCAACUGCUUCAUCAGCUUGUGACUGAACUGUGGGGCGGUCAGUUCACUUUCAAUUCAAAAAGUAAUUAAAAUUAAUUGAAAUUCCAAAAUAUAUGUUAUUACUUUGACAAAAGCCUGUAAAGAAAAUGAAAAUGAAAAGCUGAAUGUGAUUGUGGACAUUGUGUUCAGUCGGCAUCGUCAGCUUUAACAACGUAUAAACAGCAGAGGGGGGAGUCCCUCUUUUCAUUACAAAGCGGUUAAAUUGAAAACGAACUGACCUUCGAAACUUGAAAAGUCUGCUGUUGAAUGAAUUUCUGAAUUUUAGCCAUCUGGUAAAAGAGUUCUAGAUUUUUGAUUUGAAGGCUAAUAACCUGUUUUUAUCGUAACUGUGAGUUGAUGUUGGUGUAGUUGUGUAUUUAUGUGGUUAUUUAAUGUCAGCCAAAGAGAGGCGCGUGUGUGUGUGUGUGUGCGCGCUCUGUUUAACGAGGUUUAAAGGUGUAACUUUUCUGUGAUGCCCUGUCUUCUGUGGUUCAGGUCAGGCUGUGACAUCGGGGAGAGAAGAGGGUAAUAAUAAAAAGAGAAAAUUAAGA
ensembl:lncRNA